rnacentral:rRNA from 1 species
UACGAAGGGGGCUAGCGUUGCUCGGAAUUACUGGGCGUAAAGCGCACGUAGGCGGUCUUUUAAGUCGGGGGUGAAAUCCUGGAGCUCAACCCCAGAACUGCCUCGAUACUGGAAGACUCGAGUCCGGGAGAGGUGAGUGGAACUGCGAGUGUAGAGGUGAAAUUCGUAGAUAUUCGCAAGAACACCAGUGGCGAAGGCGGCUCACUGGCCCGGUACUGACGCUGAGGUGCGAAAGCGUGGGGAGCAAACAGG